CCAUGGAUCACCAGCUGCUCAUAUUGCCCCCAGUACUGUGUCAAACUGCUUACAUGCAAUAUGACACAAAGCCAAGUUUUCCAAGAUGCUGGUGGCCUGCCCCUUACUCGUAUUGCUAAUAUGGAAGUUACAUUUACUAAUGAGCAAUGUCAAUUUUCAUCAUAUUUCGAUGACAUUGAUUGGCAGACAGUGGGAAUAUGGUAGGAGGGGUU